rnacentral:rRNA from 1 species
UACGGAGGGUGCGAGCGUUGUCCGGAAUCAUUGGGCGUAAAGGGCGCGUAGGUGGCCCGGUCAGUUCGUGGUGAAAGCGCGGGGCUCAACCCCGCGUCGGCCAUGGAUACUGCUGGGCUGGAGCACUGUAGAGGCAGGCGGAAUUCCGGGUGUAGCGGUGGAAUGCGUAGAGAUCCGGAAGAACACCGGUGGCGAAGGCGGCCUGCUGGGCAGUUGCUGACACUGAGGCGCGACAGCGUGGGGAGCAAACAGG